UGGGGAAUAUUGCGCAAUGGGCGAAAGCCUGACGCAGCGACGCCGCGUGGGUGAUGAAGGCCUUCGGGUCGUAAAGCCCUGUCGGGAGGGCCGAAACAUCGGCGAUCUAAUAUAUCGUCGACUUGACGGUACCUCCUAAGGAAGCACCGGCUAACUCCGUGCCAGCAGCCGCGGUAAUACGGAGGGUGCAAGCGUUGUUCGGAAUUACUGGGCGUAAAGCGCGUGUAGGCGGCCUCCUAAGUCUGGUGUGAAAGCCCGGGGCUUACCCCCGGAAGUGCAUUGGAUACUGGGAGGCUGGAGUACCGGAGAGGAGGGUGGAAUUCCUGGUGUAGCGGUGAAAUGCGUAGAUAUCAGGAAGAACACCGGUGGCGAAGGCGGCCCUCUGGACGGAUACUGACGCUGAGACGCGAAAGCGUGGGGAGCAA
rnacentral:rRNA from 1 species